UUUUAUUCCACUUUACAGGUGCGUUAACGAUGGAAGUGGCAUCCUUUUUUGCCUCUCGCCAUUACGCAAGUGGCAAAAAAGAUAUAACGGACAGCGUGUUAAAAC
rnacentral:sRNA from 1 species